GGGGAAUAUUGGACAAUGGGCGCAAGCCUGAUCCAGCAAUGCCGCGUGUGUGAAGAAGGCCUGCGGGUUGUAAAGCACUUUUGUUCGGGAAGAAAUCAUGCCGACUAAUACUUGGUAUGGAUGACGGUACCGGAAGAAUAAGCACCGGCUAACUUCGUGCCAGCAGCCGCGGUAAUACGAAGGGUGCAAGCGUUAAUCGGAAUUACUGGGCGUAAAGGGUGCGUAGGCGGCUUUUAAGUCGGAUGUGAAAUCCCCGGGCUUAACCUGGGAAUGGCAUACGAUACUGGGGAGCUAGAGUGUGGGAGAGGGUGGUGGAAUUCCCGGUGUAGCGGUGAAAUGCGUAGAGAUCGGGAGGAACAUCAGUGGCGAAGGCGGCCACCUGGCCUAAAACUGACGCUGAGGCACGAAAGCGUGGGGAGCAAAC
rnacentral:rRNA from 1 species